rnacentral:rRNA from 1 species
CCUACGGGUGGCAGCAGUGGGGAAUAUUGGACAAUGGGGGGAACCCUGAUCCAGCGACGCCGCGUGAGUGAAGAAGGAUUUCGGGAUGUAAAGCUCUAUCAGCAGGGAAGAAAAUGACGGUACCUGAAUAAGAAGCCCCGGCUAACGACGGGCCAGCAGCCGCGGUAAGACGGAGGGGGCAAGCGUUAUCCGGAUUUCCUGGGUGUAAAGGGAGCGUAGACGGUGCAGCAAGUCUGAGGUGAAAGGUCGGGGCCCAACCCCGGGACUGCAGUGGAAACUGUGGCACUGGAGUACAGGAGAGGUAAGCGGAAUUCCUAUUGUAGCGGUGAAAUGCGUAGAUAUUAGGCGGAACACCAGUGGCGAAGGCGGCUUACUGGACUGUAACUGCCGUUGAGGCUCGAAAGCGUGGGGAGCAAACAGGAUUAGAUACCCGAGUAGUC